UAACGUAGACGAAAGUUACGCUAAUACCGCAUACGAUCUAAGGAUGAAAGCGGGGGACUCGCAAGAGCCUCGCGCGAUUGGAGCGGCCGAUAUCAGAUUAGGUAGUUGGUGGGGUAAAGGCUCACCAAGCCAACGAUCUGUAGCUGGUCUGAGAGGACGACCAGCCACACUGGAACUGAGACACGGCCCAGACUCCUACGGGAGGCAGCAGUGGGGAAUAUUGGACAAUGGGCGAAAGCCUGAUCCAGCAAUGCCGCGUGAGUGAUGAAGGCCUUAGGGUUGUAAAGCUCUUUUACCCGAGAUGAUAAUGACAGUAUCGGGAGAAUAAGCUCCGGCUAACUCCGUG
rnacentral:rRNA from 1 species